GGAAUAUUGGACAAUGGGGGCAACCCUGAUCCAGCAAUGCCGCGUGUGUGAAGAAGGCCUGCGGGUUGUAAAGCACUUUCAGUGGGGCGGAAAAACCCUGGGUUAAUAGCUCAGGGUGUUGACGUUACCCCUCGAAGAAGCACCGGCUAACUCCGUGCCAGCAGCCGCGGUAAUACGGAGGGUGCAAGCGUUAAUCGGAAUUACUGGGCGUAAAGCGCACGUAGGCGGUAUGUUAAGUUGGAUGUGAAAGCCCCGGGCUCAACCUGGGAAUUGCAUUCAAAACUGGCAUGCUAGAGUAUGUGAGAGGGGGGUAGAAUUCCAAGUGUAGCGGUGAAAUGCGUAGAGAUUUGGAGGAAUACCAGUGGCGAAGGCGGCCCCCUGGCACAAUACUGACGCUCAGGUGCGAAAGCGUGGGGAGCAAAC
rnacentral:rRNA from 1 species